CGGUGGAGCAUGUGGUUUAAUUCGAAGCAACGCGAAGAACCUUACCAGGUCUUGACAUCCUCUGACAAUCCUAGAGAUAGGACGUCCCCUUCGGGGGCAGAGUGACAGGUGGUGCAUGGUUGUCGUCAGCUCGUGUCGUGAGAUGUUGGGUUAAGUCCCGCAACGAGCGCAACCCUUGAUCUUAGUUGCCAGCAUUCAGUUGGGCACUCUAAGGUGACUGCCGGUGACAAACCGGAGGAAGGUGGGGAUGACGUCAAAUCAUCAUGCCCCUUAUGACCUGGGCUACACACGUGCUACAAUGGACAGAACAAAGGGCAGCGAAACCGCGAGGUUAAGCCAAUCCCACAAAUCUGUUCUCAGUUCGGAUCGCAGUCUGCAACUCGACUGCGUGAAGCUGGAAUCGCUAGUAAUCGCGGAUCAGCAUGCCGCGGUGAAUACGUUCCCGGGCCUUGUACACACCGCCCGUCACA
rnacentral:rRNA from 2 species